rnacentral:rRNA from 1 species
UGCGUUCUAUCAGCUUGUUGGUGGGGUAACGGCUCACCAAGGCAAUGACGGAUAGCUGGUCUGAGAGGAUGGUCAGCCACACUGGGACUGAGACACUGCCCAGACUCCUACGGGAGGCUGCAGUCGAGAAUCAUUCGCAAUGCGCGCAAGCGUGACGAUGCGACGCCGCGUGGAGGAUGACGGCCUUCGGGUUGUAAACUCCUGUCAUGAGGGAACAAAGCUUGCGGGUUAAUACCCCGGNGAGUGUGAUGGUACCUCAAGAGGAAGUCACGGCUAACUCUGUGCCAGCAGCCGCGGUAAUACAGAGGUGGCAAGCGUUGUCCGGAUUUACUGGGCGUAAAGGGUGCGUAGGCGGUACGGUAUGUCGGAUGUGAAAUCUCGCAGCUCAACUGUGAAACGUCAUUCGAAACUGCCGAACUAGAGUACUGGAGAGGAGAGCGGAAUUCUUGGAGUAGUGGUGAAAUGCGUAGAUAUCAAGAAGAACACCGGUGGCGAAGGCGGCUCUCUGGACAGUUACUGACGCUGAGGUACGAAAGCCAGGGGAGCGAAGAGGAUUAGAUACCCUCGUAGUCCUGGCAGUAAACGAUGUGCACUUGGUGUGGGGAGGAGUUAUCCCCUUUCCGUACCGGAGUUAACGCGUUAAGUGCACCGCCUGGGGAGUACGGCCGCAAGGCUAAAACUCAAAGGAAUUGACGGGGGCCCGCACAAGCGGUGGAGCAUGUGGCUUAAUUCGAUGCAACGCGAAGAACCUUACCUGGGUUUGACAUGCCCGUCGUAUUCUCCUGAAAGGGAGAAGUCAGUUCGGCUGGACGGUGCACAGGUGCUGCAUGGCUGUCGUCAGCUCGUGCCGUGAGGUGUUGGGUUAAGUCCCGCAACGAGCGCAACCCUUGUGUUUAGUUGCCACUCCCGAUUCUGUCGGGAAGCACUCUAGACAGACUGCCCGUGACAAGCGGGAGGAAGGAGGGGAUGACGUCAAGUCAGUAUGGUCCUUAUACCCAGGGCUGCACACGUGCUACAAUGGCCGGUACAGAGGGCGGCGACGCCGCGAGGCGAAGCAAAUCCCCAAAACCGGUCUUAGUUCGGAUCGCAGUCUGCAAUUCGACUGCGUGAAGUUGGAAUCGCUAGUAAAUGCGUAUCAGCAAUGGCGC